UGGGUCAAAUCUGAUUGAAAAACCAGAGGGGAGAGCAAGGAGGAUUGGGAGAGAUGUGAACAGCGAGAGAGGAAUAAGCGUCAGUAGUAUGAGAACAGGCAGGCAGAGUAGGACAUGGGAAGCAAAGUGAUAAUAUAUAAUAAAUGAAAAGGAAGCAAAAUAGAGAGCUGCAGAGAUUUAAGAGAGAAUGAGGAAAGGGAGAAAGAAAGGAGAGACUGCAAGAGAGGGAAAG